ensembl:snRNA U6 U6 spliceosomal RNA
GUGCUCACGGUGGUGCACAUGUACUGAAAUUGGAACAAUUCUAGAGAAUAUUAGCAUGGCUCCUGCGCAAGAAUGACAUGCAAAUUUGUGAAGUGUUCUGCAUUUUU